rnacentral:rRNA from 1 species
UACGUAGGGGGCGAGCGUUGUCCGGAUUUACUGGGCGUAAAGAGCGCGUAGGCGGAAAUUUAAGCGUGGCCUGAAAGCCCCCGGCUCAACCGGGGAGUGCGGCUGCGAACUGGGUUUCUUGAGGACGAUAGAGGAGAGUGGAAUUCCUGGUGUAGCGGUGAAAUGCGCAGAUAUCAGGAAGAACACCCGUGGCGAAGGCGGCUUUCUGGGACGGUACUGACGCUGAGACGCGAAAGCGUGGGGAGCGAACAGG